AGCUCAUGAUGUGGGAAAUUCCUUAGUUCACUUUUGUAUCUCUCACAUGCCUCAUAAAGAGACUCUCCAGCUUGUUGUUCAAAGUUGGCAAUAGCUUUCUUCAACUU